rnacentral:rRNA from 1 species
UACGUAGGUGGCAAGCGUUGUCCGGAAUUAUUGGGCGUAAAGCGCGCGCAGGCGGCCUUUUAAGUCUGAUGUGAAAGCCCACGGCUCAACCGUGGAAGGUCAUUGGAAACUGAAAGGCUUGAGUACAGAAGAGGAAAGCGGAAUUCCACGUGUAGCGGUGAAAUGCGUAGAGAUGUGGAGGAACACCAGUGGCGAAGGCGGCUUGCCAAUACGCGCUCGACGGUGAGGGAUGAAAGCUGGGGGAGCAAACCGG